rnacentral:rRNA from 1 species
CCUACGUGAGGCAGCAGUGGGGAAUAUUGCGCAAUGGGCGAAAGCCUGACGCAGCGACGCCGCGUGAGGGAUGAAGGUCUUCGGAUCGUAAACCUCUGUCAGCAGGGAAGAACGGUCACUGUGCUAAUCAGCAGUGAAUUGACGGUACCUGCAAAGGAAGCACCGGCUAACUCCGUGCCAGCAGCCGCGGUAAUACGGAGGGUGCGAGCGUUAAUCGGAAUUACUGGGCGUAAAGCGCUCGUAGGCGGUAUGUCAAGUCAAGGGUGAAAUCCCCGCGCUCAACGUGGGAACUGCCUUUGAAACUGGCAAACUGGAGUGUGUGAGAGGAUAGUGGAAUUCCAGGGGUAGGAGUGAAAUCCGUAGAUAUCUGGAGGAACAUCAGUGGCGAAGGCGACUAUCUGGCACAUAACUGACGCUGAGGAGCGAAAGCGUGGGUAGCAAACAGGAUUAGAUACCCCAGUAGUC